AAGGCUGAAAUUCGCCUUCAUGAAGCCGGAAUUGCUAGUAAUGGCAGGUCAGCAUACUGCCGUGAAUACGUUCCCGGGCCCUUGUACACACCGCCCGUCACACCAUGAGAGUUGGGAAUACCCGAAGCCUGUGAGCUAACGAAAGAGGCAGCAGUCGAAGGUAGAAUCAAUGAUUGGGGUGAAGUCGUAACAAGGUACC
rnacentral:rRNA from 1 species